UGUGGAAUAACUUGAGUGGUCCUUAACCCC
rnacentral:piRNA from 1 species